rnacentral:lncRNA from 1 species
UAAACUAAUAAAAUAAAUAACCAAAUCCUAAUAUACUAAUGAAAUCCUUGACCCAAUUGUACUAGGGUAAGGUUACAAAAUUAUAAUCCAAAUAGAAUGAUGAAACACAUAACCUAAUUGCACUAGGUUAAUGUAUUAUGGCAAAAAUCCAGCUUUGUGUCUGUAAGUCCCAAAGUCUUCAGAAAUGCUGUUUUAGCCCGGGACAGAUUUUCCAUGCAGCAGAUUUAGUCCUUUAUGCGUCCAGCUCCUUUCCAUCUCGUUUGUGAGCUUUCUUUUGCGUCAAGUAAGCCAUAAAUUGCUGUAUUUUGCAUCAUUUAUACCUGAAACUUUCCUAAUCACAUUUGUUAGCUCAUUUACAGGAAAAAGGACUAAAAGUGUACGAAAUAGAUAAUUAGUUCUCGAAACUAGGCUAAAGUAUGGGCAAAAUAUAUUGAUAUAGGCGCGUAAUUUCGCCUAUCAUCAGUU